rnacentral:rRNA from 1 species
GAUGAACGCUGGCGGCGUGCCUAAUACAUGCAAGUCGAGCGAACGGACGAGAAGCUUGCUUCUCUGAUGUUAGCGGCGGACGGGUGAGUAACACGUGGAUAACCUACCUAUAAGACUGGGAUAACUUCGGGAAACCGGAGCUAAUACCGGAUGAUAUUUUGAACCGCAUGGUUCAAAAGUGAAAGACGGUCUUGCUGUCACUUAUAGAUGGAUCCGCGCUGCAUUAGCUAGUUGGUAAGGUAACGGCUUACCAAGGCAACGAUGCAUAGCCGACCUGAGAGGGUGAUCGGCCACACUGGAACUGAGACACGGUCCAGACUCCUACGGGAGGCAGCAGUAGGGAAUCUUCCGCAAUGGGCGAAAGCCUGACGGAGCAACGCCGCGUGAGUGAUGAAGGUCUUCGGAUCGUAAAACUCUAUUAUUAGGGAAGAACAUAUGUGUAAGUAACUGUGCACAUCUUGACGGUACCUAAUCAGAAAGCCACGGCUAACUACGUGCCAGCAGCCGCGGUAAUACGUAGGUGGCAAGCGUUAUCCGGAAUUAUUGGGCGUAAAGCGCGCGUAGGCGGUUUUUUAAGUCUGAUGUGAAAGCCCACGGCUCAACCGUGGAGGGUCAUUGGAAACUGGAAAACUUGAGUGCAGAAGAGGAAAGUGGAAUUCCAUGUGUAGCGGUGAAAUGCGCAGAGAUAUGGAGGAACACCAGUGGCGAAGGCGACUUUCUGGUCUGUAACUGACGCUGAUGUGCGAAAGCGUGGGGAUCAAACAGGAUUAGAUACCCUGGUAGUCCACGCCGUAAACGAUGAGUGCUAAGUGUUAGGGGGUUUCCGCCCCUUAGUGCUGCAGCUAACGCAUUAAGCACUCCGCCUGGGGAGUACGACCGCAAGGUUGAAACUCAAAGGAAUUGACGGGGACCCGCACAAGCGGUGGAGCAUGUGGUUUAAUUCGAAGCAACGCGAAGAACCUUACCAAAUCUUGACAUCCUUUGACAACUCUAGAGAUAGAGCCUUCCCCUUCGGGGGACAAAGUGACAGGUGGUGCAUGGUUGUCGUCAGCUCGUGUCGUGAGAUGUUGGGUUAAGUCCCGCAACGAGCGCAACCCUUAAGCUUAGUUGCCAUCAUUAAGUUGGGCACUCUAAGUUGACUGCCGGUGACAAACCGGAGGAAGGUGGGGAUGACGUCAAAUCAUCAUGCCCCUUAUGAUUUGGGCUACACACGUGCUACAAUGGACAAUACAAAGGGCAGCGAAACCGCGAGGUCAAGCAAAUCCCAUAAAGUUGUUCUCAGUUCGGAUUGUAGUCUGCAACUCGACUACAUGAAGCUGGAAUCGCUAGUAAUCGUAGAUCAGCAUGCUACGGUGAAUACGUUCCCGGGUCU